UUAAAGGUGAUGGAGUUCACCAUAACUGCGUAAUGCUAAUGACUCCUGU
rnacentral:ncRNA from 1 species